UUUGGAGACACAAAACCUUGUACAUUCCCUAUAAAAAAGCAAGAUUGCAUCAAAGAAAAAACUAGACUCCAUCAUCAGUUUCUACCUCCAAAUGGAAUAUCCCCAAGGCCCUGAACUUCAACUAGUCAUUUAAGUUGAAAAGGGGCAACAAUCUAAUUACAAAAUUAGUCAGGAGCAACCGAGUUAGACAUACUUCUAGGCCUGGUCAUCCCCUUUAAAUAAUUGUUGAAUUAAGUAAACAAAGAAAUGUGUAAACUGCUGCAUGAAUGCAAUGGAACCCAGACGAAUGCAGCAAACCGCCCUCACCAGAUCAAAGCUACAUCUAAAUAUAGCAAUGGGGGAACCACAUAAAGUUCAGUUUGAUAAGUAUCCAAAGCGUAUGGAGGAACACAUCAAGCUCCAAAGUCUUUGCGCUCCCCCUUCCAUCAACAAGCUCCUAUACCCUUAUCUGAUGUGGGGAUGGUAAAGACUACUUCCAUGUGCCCACCCUCCUUCUGUGACUCUGGCAUUGGUGAUAAGCCUGCCCACCUUUUUAGUGUCUUCUUUCUCCUAAUCCAAGAGACAGGUAGCUCUUUGCCUUUCAUCACAUCCCCCAGGAGGAUCAGCACAGAGCCACUCACUCACAAGGAUUUGGGGUAGAUGUUGAUCACUUAAGUCUUGGCAGAUGGUUGCUAGGGAAACCCCAUGCCUUUGGAAUGUGACAGACACCAGACAAAAACCUGCUUUGGUUUGAUUUUUUUUUUCCAGCAGCGGGGGUGGGGGGCUUAUCAGUCUGCCUGACUCAGAGAAAGCACAUAAAAUGCAGCAGUUCCUCUGAGACAACAAAUCAAAAAUGGUUUCUAAUGAGCCUCCUGAAUACACGGGAUAACUUCAACCAGUCAAGUAGCAGAGGAAAUACUAUUCGACUUCAACUAUUUGAUUCCCACCAGAAGUCCCCCAGCAGUAACAGAAUAAUACUCUUCAGAUUUUCACAUAAGAGAAACAUCACAGAGGAUGAACUUAACAUCAAUCUCUGGGAUAUUUUCUAUCAGAGGGAACAAGGCUACUAGACCAACCAUCCCCUCCAGCCAGUGUUUGUAGGUGUUAGAAAUUAAAUUGCCUGAUCUGAAAUCAGACUGUACUCACUGAGGUAAUGGUGGGACCAAGAGAUACAAGUCAACGGCCAGCUGCUACCUUCCAGUUUGUGCAUGCAUUGUUUUGCAUCAACAAUCACCUGUCAAUUUAACAACAAAACUAACUUCUUGUUGACUGGUAAAUUAUCAAAGAAAUUCUUUGCUUCAUCUCCUUUUUCUUCAGUCAGCUUUUGCCCUCUACAUACAGAACAACACAGAUGUAGUGGUUAUGUAAUGAUGCCCGGAGGUAAAUAUGUCGCUCCUCUGCUAAUUUCACCACUGUGACAGAAUGUACCCAUGCCCACCCACUAUACACUAUUUUUGUACAAAGUAUGCCUUGUAAGGUAUCAUUUGAAAACUCAUAAUUUGAUGGUCAUCAUUGGCCUGGUAAUAUGUGUGGGGAAACAUUGUUCGUGAAGUUAUAAGAUUCCACUCUAUGGCAUUCUUAGCACAUAUUCCAAACUGGGUUUGGCAAACAGGUCUGUCUCAAACAAAGGAAUUUGCAGUCUGCUGAAUUUGCACUUUAGCAGUAAACAGAGUCAUCAAGCAGGACAGGAAACAAAGGAUGCUCCACCACGUAAGGAAAAGCAGCAGGGAACAUCCUUCCUUAUAGACUCUUUGUCUCCUGAAUCUCAGCUGGAAAUGUUUUUCAAGAAGGAGACUGACACUAUAAAAAGGAGAGACAAACACCCCAAGACAUGCUCCUCCCCCGCCCACUGCAUUUGUGGCCUCUAAAGGACACAGGAAGCAGCAAUGGACUGGAGAAGGGGUCCUGGCCUAUGAAAUAAGACUUCUGAAAGCAUAUGAUGAGAAAUUUAGCUUGAAUCUGAUAUAGUUUGUCAAGUUAGGCUCCAGUACCUUUUUAACUUUAUUUUCUUGUAAUCAUUUUUGACUUCUGACUUUUAUGUCUCAUCACUUCUAUUUACUUAAAAUCUAGCUCUUUGUCAUUAAUAAACUUGUUUUUGGUUUUA